rnacentral:lncRNA from 1 species
AAAUCCCCAAAUGUAGAAAACCCAAUAUGAGAAAAAAUUGAUCUAAAAAAAAUCUGGGCAAAAAAUAUCCCAAAUACGAAGCAAAUUUACAACAAUUUUUGCUCAGAUUUUGUGUUGUUUUUUUCAAUAUCCCAAAUACAGAGCAAAACCUUGGGGGCUUCUAUUUACGUGUCUCCCUCUGGUUUUCUCUCUCUCUAGUGCUUCUAUUUCCAUCUCUCCCUCUCUUUUUCACUCUCGAGUUACACCAAAAACCCCAAAUCCCCAAAUGUAGAAAACCCAAUAUGAGAAAAACUUGAUAUAAAAAAAUCUGGGCAAAAAAUGUCCCAAAUACAAAGCAAAUUUAGAACAAUUUUUGCUCAGAUUUUGUGUUUGUUUCUUCAAUAUCCCAAAUACAGAGCAAAACCUUGGGGGCUUCUAUUUACGUGUCUCCUUUUGGUUUUCACUCCCCCAAAUCUCCAAAUGAGGAAAGCCCAAUCUGAGCAAAAAUUGCUAUAAAUAAAUCUAAGCAAAAAAUGUCCCAAUUACAAAGAAAUUUUACAACAAUUUUUGCUCAGAGUUUGUGCUCGUUUCUUGGAUAUCCCAAAUACAGAGCAAAACCUCGGGGGCUUCUCUUUCCAUCUCUCCCUCUGGGUUUCACUCUCCCAAAUCCCCAAAUGAGGAAAAUCCAAUAUGAGCAAAUAUUACUAUAAAUAAAUCUGGGCAAAAAAUGUCUUGAAUACAAAGCAAUUUUAUAACAAUUUUUGCUCAGAUUUAGUAUACAACUCACAUCAGCUGAUAUAGUUUCUGAGCUAAGGCAGCUUUUGAAGUUAUUGACUCUUUGCUUGCAUUUCUUAAAGAAGCCAUUUCUGCUAUUUUUGGAGGAACUUCCUAUAAACCUUUUGGUCGUACUUAAAAAUUUAAGAGAAUUCCUCAAAAAAAUUUGUCAUGGACAUUCCAUUAUCAUGUGAGAAGGUUUAAAACUUGUUUGGAUAUCUUUUCUUAUCCGAUUUAUUGUUGAUUGUUGCAUUGGUUGUUUAAUGAAAUGGAAAUAUUUGUUUAAUGUUGGGCUGGUAAAUUUUUAUGAUUAUCACCACUUGCAAGAAUUGAUAGGUUUCUCUUUAACGUUGAAAUUAAAAUGGGAAAACCCAAUCUAAGCAAAAAUUUCUAUAAACAAAGCCGGGCCCAAAAUAUCCCAAAUAUCGAUUGUUCUUAAUUAGAUCUUUCUCUCUUCCUUGCGUGGUGAGUUUUGAUUCAUCCUCUAGUUAUAUAGCCUGGCGCAUACAUGCCUGCCAGGUAACUAGAUUUCGAGGGGCUGCAUGUAAGUAACAAUUGGUAGUGCAAUAGCAGGUUCAACAUUGAUGUGUCUAAGGUUUAGCAUUGAUGUGUCCAACUCUCAAAGUUUGCAUCAUGUGCUAAGGCCUGGUGAAAUUCCAAGGAUAAUUGAUGCAUAUAUAUUAUGUUUGGAGAUAUAUAAAGCCUUAUAUCAACCUUUAAUAUUAGAAUGCAUACAUAAAGUAGGUUUCUUUUUUUCUUUUUUCUUUGAUUUUGGAUACUAUCUUUUAUUAUCUCUCAUAUUUUAUUAUAUUGAGUUCGAGAUUGAGUUUCCUUUUUAAGAAAAGGUAAUGAAUCCAUGUCAUGCUAAUAUUUUUUGUUAUUUGUUCUUUCCUCUGCUCUCUAAUAAGGUAUAGUUUGCAUAUAUUCACUUCAAUGGCUGAUGCAAUCCAUAGUUGCAAUAGAUUGAGAAUAGGGCAUUUGAGCUCAUCUGAUCAUUUUAACUGAAUGGAUCUCGACAACCAAUUCCCUCCAAGGAUUUGUAAACGCAAACCAGGAUGUGGUAGGAUGCUUGUUUUUAUAUCAAAGACGCACGAUAACUAAAAUAGGCUUUCUAUAAAUGCUCUAACUGAAAGGUUAAUAUUCUUUCAUUAAGAUAAUGUAGAAGCAUUUUGAUGUUCCAUUAUAAGCAUAUAUCUAACACACAUUUAUCUUAUCUUGUUAACCACUAAAAUGAGGCUGGAUGCGGCUAUCUAGAGUGGUGUGAUGAAAUUCUAGGUGAAGAAAGGAAGAUUGUAGUAAAAAUGUUCGUGUCUCAGAUGUCAUAUGCUUGUGCUGCUGAUAGAGUAGAUGCAUCUAUGUUAAGAAAGAGAAGCGCAAAUCUGUUGCUAUGGUCCCUGAGAAAGCAGACGUUCAAAUUUUUUUUCUCAUAGGUGUAACUUUAUUAAUGACAAUGAUGUUUGCCCUCCUUUUUUUUGUAAAAAGAAU